rnacentral:lncRNA from 1 species
CGGGGGAGGGAGAGGAGCUGCCGGCCCCGCUGGGGGCGGCGGGAGGGCCCGAGGCUCCGGUUUGAGCAUGGUUGCUGCUGUACUGAAAUGGCUGCGGCCAAAUGAUCUUCCAUUUUUCUUCCCCUAGCUCACAGCAGAGUCCCACUUCAUGAAGGACCUGGGUUUGGACAGUUUGGACCAAGUGGAAAUCAUCAUGGCUAUGGAAGACGAAUUUGGAUUUGAAAUUCCUGAUGGAGAUGCAGAAAAGUUAAUGUGUCCACAAGAGAUUGUAGAUUACAUUGCAGAUAAGAAGGAUGUUUAUGAAUAAAAACAGUUCUUCAAAGCUGAGCGAUGAUGUCUCUACCACCAGGACUGGGCUGGUGUCAGCGGGUAUGAAUAUAAACGCACAUGCUGCACCGUUGCUGCUUUCAUCAGAAAGUUGUACUUGGAUGUUGUAUUUAAAGCUGUCUGAAUAUGUUGUCCUUUAAAAACAAGAAAAAAAAGGAAUAAAUAUGUAAGAAAGACCAU